UGAGGGUGUGUGUGUGUGUGUGUGUGUGUGUGUGUGUGCGCGCAAGUCCUGCCCCUGGGACCCCUGCCCG
rnacentral:miRNA from 1 species